rnacentral:rRNA from 1 species
GACAGAGGGUGCAAGCGUUAAUCGGAAUUACUGGGCGUAAAGCGUGCGCAGGCGGUUAUAUAAGACAGAUGUGAAAUCCCCGGGCUCAACCUGGGACCUGCAUUUGUGACUGUAUAGCUAGAGUACGGUAGAGGGGGAUGGAAUUCCGCGUGUAGCAGUGAAAUGCGUAGAUAUGCGGAGGAACACCGAUGGCGAAGGCAAUCCCCUGGACCUGUACUGACGCUCAUGCACGAAAGCGUGGGGAGCAAACAGG